CAUGUACUUCCUCCGUCCCAAAAUUCUUGUCUUAGAUUCGUCUAGAUAUGGAUGUAUCGACUUGAGACAUCCAUAUUUAGACGAAUAUAAGACAAGAAUUUUGGGACGGAGGGAGUACUUG
rfam:Triticum aestivum genome assembly, contig: Triticum_aestivum_CS42_TGACv1_scaffold_221819_3B